ACUGGUUUCGACGGGGGUCGUAUUGGCAUGAGUAGCCAGGCGGGGUUCCAUUAGCCCGUAAUACGGUGGACCUUAAAUUAAACGCAAAAGAUAAUUACGCUUUAGCUGCCUAAGGCAGCCUAACCUCUUACCUACUGUUCCUGCGGUGUAGGAUAAGGGGACAACUUAGCAGGAUACUCUAAAUCAACUGUCUGCUAGAUUUAGGGGAACUUAAGCGGACUAGCUCAACAGAAAUCCUGUUCCUGGGAGUUCCAAGGGCGAAUUUUAAAACAGGAACUAUCCUGGUAGAAGCUCAUGUGGGUAUACUUUCGGACAGGGGUUCGAUCA
rnacentral:tmRNA from 1 species